rnacentral:rRNA from 1 species
UACGUAGGGCGCAAGCGUUGUCCGGAAUUAUUGGGCGUAAAGAGCUCGUAGGCGGCUCAGUAAGUCGGGUGUGAAACCUCCAGGCUCAACCUGGAGACGCCACCUGAUACUGCUGUGGCUAGAGUCCGGUAGGGGAGCGUGGAAUUCCUGGUGUAGCGGUGAAAUGCGCAGAUAUCAGGAGGAACACCAGCGGCGAAGGCGGCGCUCUGGGCCGGAACUGACGCUGAGGAGCGAAAGCGUGGGUAGCAAACAGG